GCAACUCGCCUGCAUGAAGUCGGAAUUGCUAGUAAUCGCAGAUCAGCAUGCUGCGGUGAAUACGUUCCCGGGCCUUGUACACACCGCCCGUCACACCAUGGGAGUCGGUAACACCCGAAGUCAGGAGCCUGACCUUUUUAGGAGGGCACUGCCGAAGGUGGGAUUGAUGACUGGGGUGAAGUCGUAACAAGGUAUC
rnacentral:rRNA from 1 species